CAAAGGCUUGGUCCUGACUUUACUAUCAACUUUAGCUAAACUUACACAUGCAAGUAUCCGCAUCCCCGUGAGAAUGCCCUACAGUUCCCUGCCCGGGAACAAGGAGCUGGUAUCAGGCACACCACAGCUAGCCCACGACACCUUGCUUAGCCACACCCCCAAGGGAACUCAGCAGUGAUAAACAUUAAGCCAUAAGUGAAAACUUGACUUAGUCAAAGCUAAGAGGGCCGGUAAAACUCGUGCCAGCCACCGCGGUUAUACGAGAGGCCCAAGUCGAUAGACACCGGCGUAAAGCGUGGUUAAGAUUCUCUUCAAAACUAAAGCCUAACACCUUCAGAGCUGUUAUACGCACCCGAAGGUAUGAAGACCAACAACGAAAGUGGCUUUAUAAUUCUGAACCCACGAAAGCUACGACACAAACUGGGAUUAGAUACCCCACUAUGCCUAGCCGUAACAUUGGCAACAAGCACAGGUGUUGCCCGCCUGGGAACUACAAGCAUUAGCUUAAAACCCAAAGGACUUGGCGGUGCUUUAGAUCCACCUAGAGGAGCCUGUUCUAGAACCGAUAACCCCCGUUCAACCUCACCUCCCCUUGUUAUCCCCGCCUAUAUACCGCCGUCGUCAGCUUACCCUGUGAAGGCUAAAUAGUAAGCAAAAUUGGUACAACCUAAAACGUCAGGUCGAGGUGUAGCGUAUGGGGUGGGAAGAAAUGGGCUACAUUUCCUAUUGCAGGAAAUACGAACGAUGCACUGAAACGUGCGUCCGAAGGAGGAUUUAGCAGUAAGAGGGAAGUAGAGCGUCCCCCUGAAAUUGGCCCUGAAGCGCGCACACACCGCCCGUCACUCUCCCCAAGCCUACUAACUCAAGUAACUAAGACCUUAAAAUCGCGGAGGGGAGGCAAGUCGUAACAUGGUAAGUGUACCGGAAGGUGCACUUGGAAAAAU
rnacentral:ncRNA from 1 species